CUGACGCUAUACGAAGACGGUAGGCAGGGCGAUCUGAUAAACAGAAACCCUUACGCGGUUCUUAACUUAAAUCAUGAGAAACACUGGCAGAAUGGGUGAAAUAAUGUGCUGUAAUCGGUCGCAGAACGCUUCACUUCAAAUUAAUUGACCUUCAUUUCCUAGCUGUGCUAUGUUUUUAGAACGUUUUUAAAACGUAGUUACUCGCUAACUUAUAGUAUAGCGUUAAUAAACGACGUAGCAUAUCAAAUGGAUUAUGUGUAUCGCUUGUAAGGAUACGUCAAAUUAUAUACUAAUAUAACAGCUGGAGAGAUAUCUGUCCAUAAGAUCUUAUUUCAGAGCACGGAGGGGGCCGCCCUAAAGUGAUGGAAAACCCCAACCGAGGGGGCAGAGGGGGGCAGAGGGGCAGAAGGAGAGCCAAUGCUGAGCCUAGGAGAGGUGCUGAACCUGUGGAUGGAGAAAACAACAGGAGGCCCAACCCAGAGAGAGGGGGAAGAGGAAGAGGCAGG